CCUACGGGUGGCAGCAGUGGGGAAUAUUGCACAAUGGGGGAAACCCUGAUGCAGCGACGCCGCGUGAGUGAAGAAGUAAUUCGUUCUGUAAAGCUCUAUCAGCAGGGAAGAAAAUGACUGUACCUGAGUAAGAAUCCCCGGCUAACUACGUUCCAGGAGCCGCGGUAAUACGUAGUGGGCAAGCGUUAUCCGGAUUUACUGGGUGUAAAGUGAGCGUAGACGGCAGUGCAAGUCUGGAGUGAAAGGCGGGGGCUCAACCCGCGGACUGCUAUGGAAACUGUACGGCUGGAGUACAGGAGAGGUAAGUGGAAUUCCUGGUGUAGCGGUGAAAUGCGUAGAUAUUAGGAGGAACACCAGUGGCGAAGGCGGCUUACUGGACUGUAACUGACGUUGAGGCUCGAAAGCGUGGGGAGCAAACAGGAUUAGAUACCCGGGUAGUC
rnacentral:rRNA from 1 species